GGCACCAGUAAUUGCAACGUUUUCUAUAAGCCCCCCAAAAAAGCUAAAAAAAUUGGUGCUAAAUGAAAAUUCAAAAUGAUGGUAAAGUCGGCCUUUUUCCAUUUCCUUCUCAAACCUUCCUUGCCUCUUCCAUCUCGCAGAACCCUCGAGAACGAUACAGGCAGUCUCGCCUCUAUCUCAUUUCUCUUGCCUCCGUCAUCUUACUCCUCCUUUCUCUGUCUCUGGAAUCGAUCGAUCUAUUUGAAGAGGAUCGACAGUUCUGAAAUGGUGUUUAGAUGGGUGGGGGUUGUGCGUGUGCGGUCCAGCUUGAUGAUCGUGGAAGCCAUCGAUUCUGCUUCUACGACAUAGCCUCAACUCUGCUUCCAUCUCCAUUUUCUCUCCUCGCUUUCUCUCUCAGAAAUCACCAACGCCAACACUGUGUUGCUCAAAAACCACCAAGCUGUUUGAAAUCUCUUCGAUUCUCUCUCUCAUAAACUACGAAGCACAUCGACCUCUUGCUGAAAAACCGUGAAUUUGGUCCCAAUUCGAAGGAAAUUUUAAGCCCAGAAAAGCCUUGGUUUCCUGGUCUCCACCCCACAUUUCACAAGUUCAAAUUCCAUAGAAGUUGGUUCUGCAGAUUGUGUCUGCAAUUAGAUCAGAGAUCAACCGCUCUUUUGUUAUCAUGCAAAAGAUUGCUUUUGGGAAGGAACUGAAGUAGUUACUCUCUGUGAUUGCUGACCUGUGACUUUGCUUAGAGCUCAAAUUUUGUGAGCAUUACAUUGGAUUGUAUUGCACUUGGUUUGAUGUUGUUUUGGUCGACAAUGAAAGGACAGGAGAAACAAAGAGGAUGACACUUAUAACUGCCCUUCCCCAUCGGCCUUCUUCAAAUUUGGAUCACAAGAAGGGAGCAACAUAGGUAUUGAUUCCGUCUUCAUUUAGAUAUGGUUAAUGUAAAUAAUUGGACAAAAGAGCCAAACAAACCCUUUUCUCUCAAAUGGAGGCGAUGAUGUGGUCGACGGCCACCAGCCCCAACUCAAGAGUUUGGCCUUCUGUAUAAUCGGGUUAUAAGAUAAUUUUAUUUCGGUCCAUUUCUUUUUUCCUUUAUAUAAGUGCAGAUGUUGUGAUGUUUUGAAUGAAGGGUGAUGAAGGGUGGUUCACACACUUUCUCCUUACUUAGAGCAAGUGGAGAUGACGGUUUGUGUAAAAAUAAAAACUUACCAGGUACUUCAAUUUUCUAUUUUAUUAAUUAUUGUUUGGUUUUUGAAAUGUUGUAUUCAGAGAAGAGAGAGACCAAUUGUCCUUGAGAAACAAGUUUCUUUGUCUACAUUUCGAGAAUUUGCGGUUUGCAACUUUCAUUGUUUAUUAUAUUUGAUUGAGUUAAACUUAGAUUUCUGGAUUUUGACUUUCUCGUUUGUUUCUCUAUUGUAGAGUUGGCUUCAUUUCAUUCUAGUAACUCUCUAAAUAGGUCCAAGAACUCACUAAAUAGGUAGUCAAGAAGAAUUCAGUGUUGCCUUCCUUUUUUGCCUGCUGUUUACUCUCUUCCUGGUUGCACUCUCACCGCUUCUGUCGCUCACCACUUUUCUCUCACUCACUGCUUCAUCUCUUUUGUUGCUUACAAUCAUCGCAAAAAAAAUUCGAACCCUCAAACCAACAUAUUCAUUUCGACAGUUUCUCUCACAAUUAAUCUAACCUUGAAACCAACAAAUUGCAAAAAUCCUCAACUGUUGGAUUCUGUUGAGAUAGGCAGAAUUUGAUUGGUGUCUUCAUCAUCGACCGACACCCAGACUGCUUGGUAGUCAUGAUUAGUUUCUUCUGUCAACUUUAGGAUGUGCAUCAAUUGUAAAGAGGAACAAAACAUUUUUUGUUUGUGUCAACACUUCCAAUUGUACUAUAAUUGACAAUUUCUACUAAUUAAUUUAAGUAUUUGGAGUUUAA